UUAAAAUUCUAAGGUUUUAUUUUGGCUCAAAAUUUUUAGAUUUUUGAGAUGAAUACUACUUGGAGCUCAAGUUAUUGAUUCUUGAAUUUCUAUCUACACUAGGGUGGUGACGAAGAAAUUGUAAAAGCUUACCGACUGGCCUAGUCUAUAACUCGUAUUGAAUAGUAGCUGAGUUGAGCACUACUUGGCCAGUUGAUCUAUCGAGUUGAGCCAUAGAUUGUCAAGCAUUGAAUAACUAAUCUUAUCAGUUUAAUAGUUCAUAUUUUGGGAUAGACACAUCUUUUGGUCAGAAAUUAGUUCCAUGUUUUGGGCCUGCUAUGUUUUGUAUAUAUUAUGCAUUUUGGAUACUGUGGUUUAUAAAUUGUUGCGAAGGUCGAAUUGCCAAUGUUGUAUUUGAAUAGUUGAU